rnacentral:sRNA from 1 species
CCGUCGCCGGCAGCGCAGGUCACGGCGCUGAGGGUGGGGCGCGGGCGUAGUGGCGCCGGGAGUCGCGGGUGCGCGCGGGCCGUGAGUGUGCGCUUUUGAGAGUCGCGGCGGAAGGAGCCCGGCCGCCGCCCGCCGGCAUGAGCUACGACCGCGCCAUCACCGUCUUCUCGCCCGACGGCCACCUCUUCCAAGUGGAGUACGCGCAGGAGGCCGUCAAGAAGGGCUCGACCGCGGUUGGUGUUCGAGGAAGAGACAUUGUUGUUCUUGGUGUGGAGAAGAAGUCAGUGGCCAAACUGCAGGAUGAAAGAACAGUGCGGAAGAUCUGUGCUUUGGAUGACAACGUCUGCAUGGCCUUUGCAGGUCUCACCGCCGAUGCAAGGAUAGUCAUCAACAGGGCCCGGGUGGAGUGCCAGAGCCACCGGCUGACUGUGGAGGACCCGGUCACUGUGGAGUACAUCACCCGCUACAUCGCCAGUCUGAAGCAGGUGGGUGCCUGCCCGCUCGCAUGCUCACCUCUGGCAGCAGGGCAGUCACGGCUCUGCCAUGGAGGGUCCUGCCAUGUCACCGUUAUACGCAGAGCAAUGGGCGCAGGCCGUUUGGCAUCUCUGCCCUCAUCGUGGGUUUCGACUUUGAUGGCACUCCUAGGCUCUAUCAGACUGACCCCUCAGGCACAUACCAUGCCUGGAAGGCCAAUGCCAUAGGCCGGGGUGCCAAGUCAGUGCGCGAGUUCCUGGAGAAGAACUAUACUGAUGAAGCCAUUGAAACAGAUGAUCUCACCAUUAAGCUGGUGAUCAAGGCACUCCUGGAAGUGGUUCAGUCAGGUGGCAAAAACAUUGAACUUGCUGUUAUGAGGCGAGAUCAACCCCUCAAGAUUUUAAAUCCUGAAGAAAUUGAGAAGUAUGUUGCUGAAAUUGAAAAAGAAAAAGAAGAAAACGAAAAGAAGAAACAAAAGAAAGCAUCAUGAUGAAUAAAAUAUCUUUGCUUGUAAUUUUUAAAUUCACAUCAAUCAUGGAUGAGU